CACGUAGGGCGCAAGCGUUGUCCGGAAUUAUUGGGCGUAAAGAGCUCGUAGGCGGUCUGUUACGUCUGCUGUGAAAACCCAGGGCUUAACCCUGGGCUUGCAGUGGAUACGGGCAGACUAGAGGCAGGUAGGGGAGAAUGGAAUUCCCGGUGUAGCGGUGAAAUGCGCAGAUAUCGGGAGGAACAUCGGUGGCGAAGGCGGUUCUCUGGGCCUGACCUGACGCUGAGGAGCGAAAGCGUGGGGAGCGAACAGG
rnacentral:rRNA from 1 species